GACGAACGCUGGCGGCGUGCUUAACACAUGCAAGUCGAACGGAAAGGCCCUGCUUUUGUGGGGUGCUCGAGUGGCGAACGGGUGAGUAACACGUGAGUAACCUGCCCUUGACUUUGGGAUAACUUCAGGAAACUGGGGCUAAUACCGGAUAGGAGCUCCUGCUGCAUGGUGGGGGUUGGAAAGUUUCGGCGGUUGGGGAUGGACUCGCGGCUUAUCAGCUUGUUGGUGGGGUAGUGGCUUACCAAGGCUUUGACGGGUAGCCGGCCUGAGAGGGUGACCGGCCACAGUGGGACUGAGAUACGGCCCAGACUCCUACGGGAGGCAGCAGUGGGGAAUAUUGCACAAUGGGCGGCAGCCUGAUGCAGAAACGCCGCGUGCGGGAUGACGGCCUUCGGGUUGUAAACCGCUUUCGCCUGUGACGAAGCGUGAGUGACGGUAAUGGGUAAAGAAGCACCGGCUAACUACGUG
rnacentral:rRNA from 1 species